ACAUUUCAGUAAAUCGGCACAUACUUCAUAGAUAUGCAAAUGAAGAUGUUUCGCUAGGAUCUUGGUUUAUUGGGCUUGAUAUUGAGCACAUUGACGAUCGAAGCCUCUGCUGUGGAACUCUACCUGACUGCGAGUGGAAGACUCAAGCGGGGAAUCCUUGUGCUGCAUCAUUUGAUUGGACCUGCAGUGGCAUUUGCAAGUCAGUGGAGAGAAUGGAGGAAGUACAUCAGCGGUGUGGGGAAGGUGAUGGAGCAAUCUGGC
rnacentral:misc_RNA from 1 species